rnacentral:rRNA from 1 species
UACAGAGGGGGCAAGCGUUGUUCGGAAUUACUGGGCGUAAAGCGUGCGCAGGCGGUUUUGUAAGCCAGAUGUGAAAGCCCCGGGCUCAACCUGGGAAUGGCAUUUGGGACUGCAAGGCUUGAGUGCGGCAGAGGAGACUGGAAUUCCUGGUGUAGCAGUGAAAUGCGUAGAUAUCAGGAGGAAUACCGAUGGCGAAGGCAGGUCUCUGGGCUGACACUGACGCUCAUGCACGAAAGCGUGGGGAGCAAACAGG